rnacentral:tRNA from 1 species
UCCCUUGUGGCUCAGCCGGUAAAGCGUCUGCCUACAAUGCAGGAGACCCGGGUUCGAUCCCUGGGUCGGGAA